rnacentral:tRNA from 1 species
ACUUAAAUAGCUUAUAUUUAGAGCUUGAUAUUGAAGAUAUCACAGAAGUUUAAAACUUUUAAGUA